rnacentral:rRNA from 1 species
GACGGAGGGGGCGAGCGUUGUUCGGAAUUAUUGGGCGUAAAGGGCUUCUAGGCGGACCCGUAAGUCUGACGUGAAAUCUCCACUGCUUAACAGGGAGGGGUCGUUGGAAACUGCGGGUCUGGAGUUCGGUAGAGGAUCGUGGAAUUCCAGGUGUAGCGGUGGAAUGCGUAGAUAUCUGGAAGAACACCGGUGGCGAAGGCGGCGAUCUGGGCCGAAACUGACGCUGAAGAGCGAAAGCCAGGGGAGCAAACGGG